rnacentral:tRNA from 1 species
GCGAAUGUGGCGAAAUUGGUAGACGCGCUGGUUUUAGGUACCAGUUGUUAACGCAGUGUGGGUUCGAGUCCCUCCAUUCGCACCA